UCUGGUGUCAGCCGCCGCGGUAAAACCAGCACCUCAAGUGGUCAGGAUGAUUAUUGGGCCUAAAGCAUCCGUAGCCGGCUCUGUUAGUUUUCGGUUAAAUCUGUACGCUUAACGUACAGGCUGCCGGGAAUACUGCAGAGCUAGGGAGUGGGAGAGGUAGACGGUACUCGGUAGGAAGGGGUAAAAUCCUUUGAUCUAUUGAUGACCACCUGUGGCGAAGGCGGUCUACCAGAACACGUCCGACGGUGAGGGAUGAAAGCUGGGGGAGCAAACCGGAUUAGAUACCCGGGUAGUCCCAGCUGUAGACUAUGCAAACUCAGUGAUGCAUUGGCUUGUGGCCAAUGCAGUGCUGCAGGGAAGCCGUUAAGUUUGCCGCCUGGGAAGUACGUACGCAAGUAUGAAACUUAAAGGAAUUGGCGGGGGAGCACCACAAGGGGUGAAGCCUGCGGUUCAAUUGGAGUCAACGCCAGAAAUCUUACCCGGAGAGACAGCAGAAUGAAGGUCAAGCUGAAGACUUUACCAGACAAGCU
rnacentral:rRNA from 2 species